AGGAACUUUAGAAGUUUUCCAGCGUGUUCCCCUCAGACCCACAGCCUCCCGAGCCUCAGCCAUCACCAUGUAAAUGCUAAUGAAUGACAAGCGCCACAGAGGACUUUCAUCUUACCAUUUGAAGAGGAAGUUGGCUCUGGACAUGGGACAAGGAUGGUUUCUGCCUUGCUUUGACACAACUAAUGGAGGCCACUGAAAUAAUCUUUCCCACUAGGAAGGCUGUCACAAGGAUCAUCUUGAAUGGGAAGAGAAGAGAGGUGACCUUUGCUAUGGAUGCAUGCACCACAAGUGUGAGGCCCCACGGUUGCCACCAGGAAUAGCUAUCUACCCAGGACCUGAUGAAGCGCUGUCCAGACAGCUCUGUAAUCCUAUACCAGCACACCAAUAUGUGUGCUAAACUGAUCAAUAAUAAGAUUGAUACAUCUUCUACUUGGGAAAGAAAGAAUGAAGGUCCGCAACCAACACCAAGCUCUGAGAAGUUGACUUGGAUGAUGUUCUACCCAGCUCUCAUCUAAAGGAGUAGAGUCCCCAAGCCAGAGGAAGCUGUCAGAGAGCUUCUCAGCUGUGAAGAUUCUAUGAGGUCCCAAAGGUUAAUGAUGCCAGUUACAGAAGCUUGACAGAGCAAAAGGGGAAGGAUGUGUCACUUGGCUGUGUGGCUGGCUGAUCUUAGGGAAUGAGAAAGCAAAUGUGAUGGAGGUGACCAAGGGGUGACAAUGCUUCACCACCAUCAUGAAGAGCAUACAGGGGACUGGGGGUCAGAGGGAAGUGAGGAUAGGGAAGCUGGAAGAAAACUGGUGAUGUUGGAAUUUUUAAGAGACAGUAUUCCUGUAUAUCAUAUUUAA
rnacentral:lncRNA from 10 species